CAAACCUGCCUUAAGGAUGGGGAUAACAGGCGGAAACGACUGCUAAUACCGAAUACGUUCUAAGCAUCGCAUGGUGCAUAGAAGAAAGGGUGGCCUCUACAAGAAAGCUAUCGCCUUAAGAGGGGUUUGCGACUGAUUAGGUAGUUGGUGAGGUAACGGCUCACCAAGCCGACGAUCAGUAGCCGGUCUGAGAGGAUGAACGGCCACACUGGAACUGAGACACGGUCCAG
rnacentral:rRNA from 1 species